UUCUAAUCUGAAUCGUGAGGCAGGAAGGAAGGCACGCCCUCUGCUGGAAGCCUAUAUAAGUUCACGGAAGGAGGAAGCCUUUGCUCUUUGCCUGCUUGCGCUUGCUUUGUUAGCAAGUCCAUUCCCUCGUUGGCAUUAGAGCCUGGUCCUUUGGGAUUCCAGAUUAUACUGAAGACCCGCUACGAUAUCCAGCUUCAUGGACCAAACAACUACCGGAUUCUUGGAUGUUCCGUCUGUUCACAGGCAGCCAUUGUUGGAUUAGCUGGACCACAGCCUCAGAAUGCUGAUGGGUGCGAGAGUCUCUGGGAACGCUUCCAACAGAUACGCAUCAGUGUGAUUAAAACCCUCCCAGCAUCUUACAACUGUCACGGUGAUGUUUCUCCACUGACACCAGCCUGGCUUCAGCUCCAAGUGGGGCCGUGUCACCACUGCUGAUUCGUGUUUGCUGUCCCGAGUCUAUUGAACUGAACUGCUGGUGUAUCCGUGGAGUGUUUGCGAGUGGAUCGAGCUGCCGCCUGCUAACUGUGAACUGAACUGCCGAUUUCCAGACCACACAGAUGGGGGUUCUCUGAGGAACCGUAAUAAACAGGUCCACUUCCUGCAUGUUCUUUAAAACCGUCAUUAAAAAUAAGGUUUGAAAAAAAAAAUUACAGCAAGGGGCCUGUUUUGUUGUCUUGUUUUGAGACUAUGUUGCUUUGGCUGGCCUGGAACACACUACAUAGACCAGGGUAGCCUCAGAAUCACAGAGGUCUAUUUGCCCCCGCCCCCGCCCCCACCGCCUUCCUGAGUGGACUUAAAGACAUGUGCCACUGAGCACAGCAACAAAGGUCUUUUAACAUUCCACGUCCAGUUCCAGAAGUGUGAGAGUUCAUUAUUUUAUGUGGUAAAUCCUGUUAGUAUCAGCAGUGUUUGCAUGGACAGGCUCCAUCAUUUGGAAGUCACAUACGCUCUGUAGAUUUGGAGUCUUUCUGUUUGCUUGUAUGUAGCUCUGGCUGGCCUGGAACUCACAGAGAUCUUCCUGCCUCUGCCUCCUGAGUACAAGGAUUAAAGAUGUGCACCAUCAUGCCCAGUACUAGGACUCUGUAUCCUAACACUGAUAACGCUGCCUGUGUGUAGAGACACUCUGUACUGUGUCUUGUUUCCGAAUCCCGGAGUUGGAAGGGAUUGUUAGGCUGAUGGAUUUCCUACACAAUCCCUCAGUGUUGUGGUCAGUGUCUCAUUACAGUAUCUCAGGGUUUAUGAAACGUCCAACUGCACUAUUCCCAGAUGCCCAGCAGGAUAGGACGUGUAGGUGACUGGACCAAGACCUGACAGCCACAUAGAGAAAUGGUAAGACAGAGGCUCAACUGAUUUUCUUCUCUAGUUUCUGCUUGGAUUCCUGGUGCUCAGGACACCAGCGUUUCCCACAUGACUGCACACUAGAAUACAGGCCUUAUUCUGCUC